UGGGGAGGAGUGUGAUGAGAAAUGCUGGCAUCCUGACCUUCCCAGGAAAAUACUGAAGGCUUUGAGUAGGAGCUGGGGAGAGAGGUAGCCUCAACACCUUGGCCAUACCCACCUGGAGUGGAGCUAUUAAUAUACAGUGAAUCAUCUAUGAGAGCAUUUACAACUACCUACAGGCUAAAAUGCUUUGUCUUCAAGGAGAUUCAUGGAAAAGACCCUGACAAAUACUCUAGAGUACAAGUUUCUGAUAACUUGAAGAUCAUACCACUUAACUGGACUUGGAAUAAAAACUAAAAUUGCCCUUUUCCUCAAUUUCUACAACCUAAAGCCAGACAACUUGAUAGAAGAUUCAAAGAAAUCACCACAACAAAUCAUGUACAGACAACCUUCGUGCCUACUUCUGUUUCAGGCCACUCAGAGUUCACCAGAAUAUUCAAUGAUGUCAUCAAAAUCAUUCAAACUACAAACAAGGAAAAUCCAACAGAUUGAAACUGCCUCCUCACUCCAUCAUCUAAAGAUGUUUUGAAAAA